rnacentral:rRNA from 1 species
UUGAACGCUGGCGGCAUGCCUUACACAUGCAAGUCGAACGGUAACAGGUCUUCGGAUGCUGACGAGUGGCGAACGGGUGAGUAAUACAUCGGAACGUGCCCGAUCGUGGGGGAUAACGCAGCGAAAGAUGUGCUAAUACCGCAUACGACCUGAGGGUGAAAGCGGGGGAUCGCAAGACCUCGCGCGACAGGAGCGGCCGAUAUCGGAUUAGCUAGUUGGUGAGGUAAAGGCUCACCAAGGCGACGAUCCGUAGCUGGUCUGAGAGGACGACCAGCCACACUGGAACUGAGACACGGUCCAGACUCCUACGGGAGGCAGCAGUGGGGAAUUUUGGACAAUGGGGGCAACCCUGAUCCAGCCAUUCCGCGUGAGUGAAGAAGGCCUUCGGGUUGUAAAACUCUUUCGGCAGGAACGAAACGGUGAGCUCUAACAUAGCUUGCUAAUGACGGUACCUGAAGAAGAAGCACCGGCUAACUACGU